rnacentral:ncRNA from 1 species
CGGCCCGCGGCACUCCACUUCAUGCCGCCCGCCGGCAAAAGAUAAGGAGGAAUACCCGCUGUGGCUGGCGGUGCGGCAGUGUGGAGACCUGUCGUAAGGCACCGAGGGCAAUGCCCGUGCGAGGCCGUCUUUUGCGGAGGCAGGACGGUUACAGCCAAGACGUAUGGCA